GAGGGGAAGUUUUCUGUAGUCCUAUGAUUAGGUCUCAGUAUUUUAGUGAGCCUAUGCCUAUGGACUGUGAGCUUCGCAUGGGCUUCUCGUUCUUCUUUCCUUAUGUGGGGCAGGAUGACUAGAAUGGGCUUCAGUUGGGUAUUUCCCUUUCCCUAAGUCAGUUAGGCUCUGAUAAAACCCCAGCAGGUAAGGCUCUAGUUACACAGUUACACCUGUGGGCAGACGUUAAGAAGAACAGUGCUGAGAUAUUUCAAAAUGGUUCCUUUUCCUCUCUCCCUGCUGGAAGCUUGAGGAUUUUUCUCCCAUAUUUACUGUGAGAAUCUGGCUGAGCUCCUGGAGGUGAAACUCACAGUAGUGUGGUGGGCCCACCUAUGACUGGAUCCUCUUGGAGUUUUUAAUUCUUGGACUUGUCCACAGUGAACCUCCAGCAAUUUGUCAGUUACAGUUGAAGUUUUCCUCUCCCGGGACCAGUUCUGGAGGAGGUUUCAGCUCUUGAGUUUUGCUUGGCCUAUGCUGAGCAAGGAACUAUUAUUAGUGUUGGUGAUACCAAAAUUUGAAGACAAAAUUGCCUGUCACUGUGGAGCUUCCAGUGUGUCCACGUGAAACAAUCGCAUGUUUGGAAAGGUGAAAAUGAACUGUACAGUGGACUUUUUACUUAUUUUCAACUUCUAAAUGUUAUUAUUUCACACUUGACUGACUCUAGAAGAUGCCAUUUGCUUUGCCCCUAGCUAAACUGAAAGACUGUGUAGGAAACCAACCUGAACAAUUUACUUUUAUUUUGUGUUCUUUUAUUGAGUUAUUUUACUGCAAUCAGAAAAGGAAGAAUAAGUAGAAAAAGAUACAGAGGGUGAGGAUGAUGAAGAAGAGGAGGAAGAAGAGUUCUAAGAAGGAAGAAGAAAAAGAAGGAGGAAAAUUGAAGUAUAGAGUUGAGUUACUUCUAGGCCAGACUAGAGACCUAUCUAGGCAUUAUCUUUAGAGCAUGUGCAAUUUCCCUCUUAUAAAAUACAAGUCUAAAUCUUAUCAAUUUUAAACAGUUCUUCAUGAAAUAUGCUAUUUAACCUGGAGUCCUCUAGGAAUAUUAAAAUAAUAUCCAACAUAAUCAGUGUUCCACAGCAUACAGCUUGGGAAAAAACUCCUUACAUGUAUGUUGGAGGCAGUCAUCGAGAGGAUGUGACCUCCAGUUGACCUGUGAGCAAUCAGUGGUUCCUCACCUCCCUUCCCAGUUCUUGGAAUGUACGUUUGCCCACCGUUCCAUUUUCAAGUGGGAGCCAUUUUCAAGGACACAACCUUGAGAGAGCAAGUGUUGUCAUGCCCAUCUGGAUGGUAUACAUGACUGAAUCCAGUUAAAGCAUCUAUACCAACCUUUAAGGUUCUGGCAGUCAGGUGUAGAAAUCUACUCAUCUUUUGGCUACCAAGACAAGCCUCAUAAAAAUGAGCAUCAUCCAUCUUUCAAGCUUAUGAUGAUGCAACUGAUGUUGAUUUAGAGACCGUUUGUUCAGAGUUCCUCCUGAAGAUUCUCCUCUAUCAAGUUGAUACCUUGGGUCAUUCAAGAAGAAAUGAAGACAUUUGCAUGUGAAUUAUUUGGUUACAUUUUCUUUUACAUUUCUUCUACGGUCAUUUUUUAGUAGUUGAUAUUUUUCUAAAACUUUUUCAUAUCAUGCAAGUUUUCAAAUAUGUCUUUAUAAGUGGUAUUUUAUAGUUUUAGCAUUCUUUGCUUAUCUCUAUACCAGUCAUCAUUCAAUUUCUUUUCUAAUUUUGUAGAAUUUCUCUUCAGACUCUUGAGUUAAUUAGCUUUUCAUGAUUUUUUUUUGUUUUUUUUUUUGGUGAGGAAGAUUAUCCCUGAACUAACAUCUGUUGCCAAUCUUCCUCUUUUUGCUUGAGCAAGAUUGUCUUUGAGCUAACAUCUGUGGCAAUAUUCCUCUAUUUUGUAUGUGGGAUCUCUCCAUAGUGUGGCUUGAUGAAUGGUGUGUAGGUCUGCACCUGGGAUCCAAACCCACGAACCCUGGGCCACUGAAGUGGAAUGUGCAAAUUUAACCUCUAUGCCACUGGGCUGGCCCCAUGAAUUUUUUUUAUCAUUUCUUAGUCCUAUAACUUAAUCUUUGAUAUAUUUUUCAGAUUUGAUGCUAUUUUUAAAAAUAAUUUUUGUGUAAUCUUUAUAAUUCCCUUUCCUAUUAUGUCCUUAUUUCAUUAUUGUACUACAAAAUUUUUAAUUGAAUGCUUAAUUAUUUACCUUUAUUCUUUCUUAUUUUGAAAUAUUUAUGACAAUUUUCUCUGUGCCCUUUAUUAAAAAUAUAUUUAUUGGUUAUGAAAUGUAACAAUUUGACUAUAAUUUUAUUCUAGAUAUUUUACAAUUGAUAUUUGACUCCUUCUUUGUCAUAAGAGUUAUCAAAAAAUCUUCAUGUGUAGUGAUUUCACAGAAAUAGUAUAGUAGAGAGUUCAAAAAAUUGGUCCCUCCACUGAAGCAACCAUUAAACUGGCAAAAACACAGAAUCAACUUUUUCAGAAGUCCGGAAUCUAAUAAAAAACUUAGAUAAACAGUGGAAUGCCUAAUGAAGAAUGAGGCUACUAAAUCUUGGUAAAUUAGCCCAUCUAUAAUUCCCCAUUCCCCAGAUUUUCACCAGCCAUUGCCAUGUUCCUGGGGCAGAUUGCUGGUGUAAGGAGGUAGAGAGGGUUUAGAGGGAAAAACAAUAUGGAUCUUGGUAUUUAAAUAUUAUUUUUAUGCAUUUUGAUCAGUCUGGAGGUCCCUGAGAGACAGUAUAGAGGCUAACCUUUGUUUUGCUAUCCUUUGGAGCUAUGGCAGUUUUCCUAGCAGCAGAUGUAGAAAGCAUUUAAAGACAUGUGCCAGCCAUAGCUUCCUGGAGCAAGAGGGAGCAGACAGAGCAAGGAGUAGUCAGACCCAAAAGCAUGGGAAAGAGGAGGCUGAGGAGGAAAUUCUUGGAGGAAUAAAGGCUUUAGAAGGACUACUAUGUAUAUGGGGAAUCUGGAGUGCCACACAUAUGCCCAGGUAUGGGUGCAUACUCAGAAAAUAUCUAAGAGGAUAUUAGGCUUACCCUAAUGGCUGAUCUAUGUGCUCCAUUCAAAUAGUAAGUGAAGGCUAACACAGAGCUGUAGACAACCAGGCUUAGCAUUGAAGGAGUGCCACACACAGAGCUAAUCUGCAAAGACUGGAACAGUAUUUUUUUCAUUUUGGCCACAAGCAUUUAAGGAAAUCUCUGUCAAAUCACUAGGUGACCAAUGAAAUAAUGGAAUAGGAACCCCAGUGACCACACAUGACACAGAGUACAGUCUUUGGAAAAAUAGUUUGGAAAAGUCACUAAAUGUGUAAAAAACUGUAGUUUGCAACAACCAGCAAGAGCAAACUCUGGAGACAAGGAGAAUCUGAUUUACAAAAUUCUCAUGUUAUACUAUUCAAAAUUUUGAGUUUUCAAUAGAAAAUUAAAGCCAUACCAAGGAACAGGAAAGUAUAGUCUAUUCAUAGGAUAAAAAAGAAAUGGACAGAAACCAUCCCUGAGAAAGUGCAGAUACUGGAUUUGAUAGAGGCUUACAUCAACUGUUUUAAAUAUGUUCAAGAGUUAAAGGAAAAUGGACAAACCACUAAAGGAAGCAAAGAGAAUGAUAUAUAAACAAAUAGAGAUUAUC
ensembl:lncRNA